UAAAUGGCGCUAUGGGGAUUAGCUGUCUUUUUACAAUUAUCUAAAAAUUAUAUAAGGGGUGAAAAUACCCUUUUAGAAAAAUAAGACGAGAAGACCCUUAGAAUUAUAAUAAUUUAUUAAUUUUUUAAUAAGUAUUUUUGUUGGGGCAACAGUAACCUAUAUAAAACAAACGGUUAAAAAUAAAUUAAACAAGAAUUAUUUAGAGCGAAAGAAAUAAAUUACCUGAGGGAUAACAGCAUAAUUUAUAUUUAAGAUUAUGACCUCGAUGUUGGACUAGGGUCUAUUUUCAUUAGACAUAAAAAUAGCUUGUUCUGUUCGAACAAAUUUACCCUACGUGAUCUGAGUUCAGAACCCUACGNGAUCUGA
rnacentral:rRNA from 1 species